rnacentral:rRNA from 1 species
GAUGAACGCUGGCGGCGUGCCUAAUACAUGCAAGUCGAGCGAACGGACGAGAAGCUUGCUUCUCUGAUGUUAGCGGCGGACGGGUGAGUAACACGUGGAUAACCUACCUAUAAGACUGGGAUAACUUCGGGAAACCGGAGCUAAUACCGGAUAAUAUUUUGAACCGCAUGGUUCAAAAGUGAAAGACGGUCUUGCUGCCACUUAUAGAUGGAUCCGCGCUGCAUUAGCUAGUUGGUAAGGUAACGGCUUACCAAGGCAACGAUGCAUAGCCGACCUGAGAGGGUGAUCGGCCACACUGGAACUGAGACACGGCCCAGACUCCUACGGGAGGCAGCAGUAGGGAAUCUUCCGCAAUGGGCGAAAGCCUGACGGAGCAACGCCGCGCGAGUGAUGAAGGUCUUCGGAUCGUAAAACUCUGUUAUUAGGGAAGAACAUAUGUGUAAGUAACUGUGCACAUCUUGACGGUACCUAAUCAGAAAGCCACGGCUAACUACGUG